rnacentral:rRNA from 1 species
UACGUAGGGGGGCAAGCGUUGUCCGGAAUUAUUGGGCGUAAAGCGCGCGCAGGCGGUCUCUUUAAGUCUGAUGUGAAAAUCUUGCGGCUCAACCGCAAGCGGUCAUUGGAAACUGGGGAGACUUGAGUACAGAAGAGGAGAGUGGAAUUCCAUGUGUAGCGGUGAAAUGCGUAGAUAUAUGGAGGAACACCAGUGGCGAAAGGCGACUCUCUGGUCUGUAAACUGACGCUGAGGCGCGAAAGCGUGGGGAGCAAAACAGG